rnacentral:rRNA from 1 species
GGCGGUGAGAGAAGUAUAAGAAAGGUCUUUUGGGGAAGUAGAGAGAUAAGGUCUGGUUAGGUCUAGGUAGGGCACGCUGAAAGGAGGUUGGUCGUUACCUCAAGGCUAGAGUACGCGACCGGCGACGGCCGCGGCAGGCGGGGGUUACGAAGCCCACGGAAGACGGCGGCGUCGGUGGUGGUGGUGCUGGAGCAGAGGAGACGGGGGAAAGGGCAGAGAGGGGCGGCAGAAGAGGCCGGUGGAGGGCGUAGAGGAACCUACGGCAGGCGACGUUCAUGCGGCGUCCCAUGCGCGACGUGUAGGAGCGGCCGCCGCCGCGGUGUACGAUGAGUGAGAAGAGGUAGCUGUGCGAGGUGCUGGUGGGGGAAGUCCAUGCGCGACGAGGGACUCCUGUAGGUGUGGCAGACGUGCUUCGACCCCAAGUCUAGCGGCAGUAGCAGCGGCGGCCGGUAAUUAGUCAAGCGAUCCUACAUAAAGUGCGGGCAGCAAGGAGCGUGAAUGAAUCGGACUAGAUAGUUUAGCGUCAUAAUCGCGAAAGACACCAGAGUGUAGCGUCAAAAGAGACGGGUUUGACGUCCUCCGUACUUCUCUAACCGAUAUCUGGUCCGUCCUCUUAUCCCCUAUCCUUUUACGUCUUUUAACGGUCCGUUAUAUACAAGAGAACGUGCAAACUUAGGACUAAACCUAAUAGGAUGUCUAAACUUAUAAAAAUAGUAUGGUUAAUCGAAAAAUAAAAAGCACUCAUAUUACUAUACGGACUACGGGUUCCGACACGAAAAGGAGGAUUAUCAGGUUCAAUGAGCUUUUAUCUAUAGUAUCGGGACCUAAAUUAACGUGAUCUUCAUAGUAUCUAAGUAGAGGUGUAUAUGGGGUAGACACCCACAGUUCGGUUAGUGGGAGUAAGGAUAUACGAUCGGACUCAACACUUAGCAACAGAGGAAUCCUGACAAUUGGAUCUUUAAGAGUUUUAUUUCGUUUUGUAGUUCGGGAACUAGUACACCUGGGAAUGAAGUUUUUCGUACCUACACUAGAUUAUAUUCGAAUAAGAAACUAAAAGGUGGCUCUAAGGAGUGCGACACGUGUCUACUUCCUACAACCCGGUAAAUCUACGGAAGAAGUCGCGCGGCAGUAGGAGAGGAGGAGAUCGGUUGUAGCUACCGUAAAGCCACAACUCCUCUUUCAUAGCACAGUGUAUAUACGACGAACUAAGGGACCUAAGACCUAGAGGAACCCUUUUUCAUCCACUUACUAAAAGUUUCCACGUCUAAUUAUCCCGUACUAUUGGGACAAGAAUAAGAAACCAAAUAAAACUAGGGUCCGUAAUCUUCCUAAAAGAAAAACUGACAAUGCGACGAGACGAUCCGUAAUCUUCUUAAAGUAAAAAAUGACCAUGCGGACGAGACGUGGUAAUUCUCAUACAGACAUCGAUCGAAAGUGAACGAAGACAAAACCCUUUACAUCGUUGUUAUGUCGUACAUGAGGAUACAGGACGUAUACUUGCACACUUCUUUGACUCCGUGCGGGAUGACAUAAUUAUGGCCACUGGGUACAAGUCGAUUAACAAAAUGUGUGAAAACAUACCCGUGACAAAUUAUAGCAUGAUCUAAAUAGUAAGGGGCGUUUUUAUUAUUAUAUCCCAUAUACUAACAGGUCAUUUUAUCUCAUCCGGUUAGAUAUCCGACUUCAUUCAAUCAAAACAAAAUAAGUGUCCUCACGUACACAAAAUAGUGAGUGAUUAAUAUACCCCAAAAGUGUGUAUGUUCACUACGUAAAUUGUCUAAAACUCUCCUUUAUCCAACAAAAAAAUAACACAAAGAAAAGUAUCUUUAUUUUCAGCCAAAAGUCUCCCUGCAACCAAAGUCGGAACCGGAAGAUUUCAACUUUCUAGUGCGACAAAAUUAAUGAAGACCUCCUAAGGAAGUAAAACUCUUUCAGUUAUAGAGUCGUCGUUCGACCGUUGAACCGGUUACUACAACCUGCUUGGUUAAGAAAAUCUGAGUUUAAGAACCUAACCACGACAUAUAAGACUUAAAGAAAACACUUGUUUUCACUCCUCACCCUCUCCUAGACGUUAACACUUUAAAUGAACAAAAGUAACCUUAACAGAUGAUUAAUACUUUACUAAAAAUAAAGAAGACCUAAGCCAUAUGAUAAGAACCUGAGUACUCUAACAACAAAAUAAAGUUACAACCUGCACCAAGACUGUUUUUUACGUCCGACAUCGAUUACCUCUGACAUCGUGCGACCAUAUCACAGUCCAGGACUGCUAGUACUCACACAACGUACGGACCCCGGACCGAGCAACGCACGUCACUGGGUCACCGGCUGCACCCACUCCUGGACAUCUGGCCCGUGUUGCCACCCCUACUUGUUCUUGCACGACUGCGGACACGCGCGGUGGUGCGGGUGGCGGUCGAGGUCGACGCCCGAAGUCGUCUUGUAGUAGGGCGACGAACUCCAGUCUUAAGAGCAGACGCCACCGCUCCGUCUCUGCUGCGAGCUCCCAUCCCCGAACCUGCGGCUCCGGCUCGCUCCCCUACCACUCCUCGAACCUCUGCUCAACCAACUGCACGACCGGACCCUCGAGACCAGCCGCCGCAGUUUCCGCGACUACAGCGGCUACCCCUACCUGCCACCCGGACCAGUAUGCCGGCUAAUGUAAUAAUGUCAAGUAAUCUCAUUGGUUUGUUUAAGACAAAAAAGAGGUAAGGGAAAUGUCAUUGACAUAUUGAGCUAACACAAACGCAAACGCAAUUCAAGGAACGUGGCUUGUGGAGGAUCCACAUAUGCACUCGUUGUUAAUGCUUUUGUCAUCUACUACACGUUAAACGUCAAAUAAU